CCUGGAAAGCGUGGGCCUCUGUCAUUGGGCCCCUGCGGCCACGUGAUGGCGGAUUCAGCUAGGUCGGCCCCCACCGCCGAAGGUUAAUACGGUUCAACCUUACAAGCCCGGGCGACGCUGUGAGGGCUCGUCACUAGGCUUGGUUGACACCAUCAAUCCAUUUUUGUUCCUUUGCUGGUAUCCUGUUUUUCCAUUUGGAAGCUUGUGGAGUUUUCUUUUUUUUUUCAGAGUUCAGAAUUUUCACCAGAAUGUGUGAAGGGGACACGGGUUCGAGCCCUGGUCUGGGAAGAUCCCACAUGCCACGGAGCAGCUGGGCCCGUGAGCCACAAUUGCUGAGCCUGCGCGUCUGGAGCCUGUGCCCCGCGACGGGAGGGGCCGCGAUAGAGAAAGGCCCGCGCACCGCGAUGAAGGGCGGUCCCCGCACCGCGAUGAAGAGUGGCCCCCGCUUGCCGCAACUGGAGAAAGCCCUCGCACGAACCGAAGACCCAACACAGCCAAAAAA